AGAAUUUGGAAAGGUAGAGAGAGUGGAAGCUAGUGAGACAAGAAAGAGGAAGGAGAAAGAAGUUCAUCAUUUUCAUAUCUCCAUUUUCGCAACCCUUGAUACAGCUCCACUAAAUCAGCUUGUUUAUUGGUGGAGAUAAACGCAUUUGAAGAUUGAUGAUUGAUGCUGAAAGUGAGUACAAGAGUGAUUACGGGUUUGAUCAUAUUAGAGGUGAAGUGUUGGUCAAAGAGAGAGUUCAAUGGCAGCAAGAGUAUUCUCAUAACCUCCAUUAAAUCCAUGGUGCAGUUUAGUAGCGUUUGACAGAUAGUAGGUUCGGAUUGACGACUUAAAGUGGUGAUGGCUCGGAGACCUCGUCAGAUCUUAUUUCCGCUGUGCAGAUCCAUGAAGACACAUGUUUUGUAAUUAUUAAUAUUAUUUCAUGUUGUAUUUAUAUGGAUCCUCUUGUAUCUUUAGCUUUUGUAUGUACUCAGAUACCGAUUUUUAACGUUUCAUGCAUAAUAUACUAGUCAAUUAUGUGUGGGGUG